UCAUAUUGACCUAUCUUUCAAACUUAUAUUAUUGUUUCUAUCUUUAAUAAGAUGUAUUUAAACUUGGUAUGUUUAAACAAAUCUCUACUUUUUAGUUUUUUUCUUCUGUUGUAAUCAACGGUGUUUGUAAAAUUAUGUUUUAACAGAUUGUGCAUUAGUGUGAGGGUAAGACAUGAAGUAUAAAGAGGAUAAACCUGAAAGACAUUCAGAGGUGGUACCCAUAGGAGUAAUCUAAGUGGAGCUAUGCAGGAGUACAACUGCUACCAACGAAGCUGGUGAGUCUUUUACUGGUAAGAACCCAACUCUAACAAGAUUAAUCAAACGAUACCCUCAAUCAAUUCACAGAACUAAUUCUCGUCUUCUUCACCACAUUAAAAUCAAGAGUCAUCACAGAGUCGUAUUCUGAACACUGUAACAUCUUCAAUCGAGCUUUGUAUUAUUGUUGAAUUGGAUUCUCGACCGAGCUAUGCAGGUUUAGGGUUUUAUCUGGCGCAUAUAUCCGUCCAAGGUUAAUCAAUCUUAUCUAUAUGUUUUUUUUCCUUUUACUUGUUUUGUAAGAUUUAUUUGUGGUGUGAAUUGCUAUGUUUAUAUUUAGAGUAUACUUUCAAUUUGAUUUAA